GAUGAACGCUGGCGGCGUGCCUAAUACAUGCAAGUCGAGCGAACGGACGAGAAGCUUGCUUUUCUGAUGUUAGCGGCGGACGGGUGAGUAACACGUGGAUAACCUACCUAUAAGACUGGGAUAACUUCGGGAAACCGGAGCUAAUACCGGAUAAUAUUUUGAACCGCAUGGUUCAAAAGUGAAAGACGGUCUUGCUGUCACUUAUAGAUGGAUCCGCGCUGCAUUAGCUAGUUGGUAAGGUAACGGCUUACCAAGGCAACGAUGCAUAGCCGACCUGAGAGGGUGAUCCGCCACACUGGAACUGAGACACGGUCCAGACUCCUACGGGAGGCAGCAGUAGGGAAUCUUCCGCAAUGGGCGAAAGCCUGACGGAGCAACGCCGCGUGAGUGAUGAAGGUCUUCGGAUCGUAAAACUCUGUUAUUAGGGAAGAACAUAUGUGUAAGUAACUGUGCACAUCUCGACGGUACCUAAUCAGAAAGCCACGGCUAACUACGUG
rnacentral:rRNA from 1 species